AUGAACGCUGGCGGCGUGUCUAAGGCAUGCAAGUCGAAAGUGCACUUCGGUGCAACUUGGCAAACGGGAGAGUAACACAUUGGUAACCUACCUUGAGGACGAGAAUAAUCCCGCGAAAGCGGGAAUAAUACUCGAUAAUAGUGGGGGGGCAUAAGUCAUUCCCACUUAAAGCUCCGACACCUCAAGAGGGGCCUAUGACCUAUCAGCUAGUUGGUGAGGUAAUAGCUCACCAAGGCAACGACGGGUAGCGGGUGUGAGAGCAUGACCCGUCUCACUGGGACUGAGACACUGCCCAGACUCCUACGGGAGGCUGCAGUCAAGAAUAUUCCUCAAUGGCCGAAAGGCUGAAGGAGCGACGCCGCGUGAUUGAUGAAGCCCUUCGGGGUGUAAAAAUCUUUUCUCUCCGACGAAACAAUGACGGUAGGAGAGGAAUAAGGGGCUGCUAACUUCGU
rnacentral:rRNA from 1 species